AAACUAGACACGCUAAACUGUUGACUUUUCUCUAAGGAAAAUCCAAGGUUGCCUAGGUAUCGAGUCCUGAUAACGAGUAGAUAUGAAGUAUAAAAGCGAUGGCCAGCCCUCAGUUGCAUCGAAUACAACUAAGUACUCUAUAAAACGUAAACAUGGCGAUAUUGAAACACGCUACGUGUCUGCUAGUGCUGUUGGCCGUUCUGAGCAUAGUACUGGGUCAAACUGCUCAAGGAGGACCUCAAGUAUCUCAGGGCGGUCCUCACGAAUCUCAAGGGGGUUCUCAUGAAUCUCAAAGAGGCGCACACGAAGAUCAGGGCCGGGUUAAGAGACAGGCCGAACAAUAUGACGACGAAGACUCAGGGGUUGUGAGCUGGACUACCUGCGAUCAAACUACGACGCCGAAAUAUUCUUGCCAAGACUGCAACACUCGUCUAAUCUGUCUACCGAUUGGUGGAAAAGUAUUAGCUUGUCCCAGUGUGAACAGGCCCUAUUGCAAUAAUGGCCGUUGUUCUGCUAUUCCUAGCGCAGGCUGUGCUUAAAUUGUGGUUGUAAUGUUUCUAACGCUAAUUAGAGCUCGAGACAUUCAUUGAUAAAUUUAUACCGAGUGCAGUGUCCAUUGGAGCCAUCCAAAGCAGAAGUACCUACAUUUAACACAUUCACUGCCAGACAAAAAACGGCGCACUACCCCAGAAACCGGUAGUCUGUAGCUGCUUAUAAAACAACCCGCCCAGCGGGUUGUCCAGCAUCUGAACAAAGUUCCCGGCAGUGAAUCUGUUAAAGUAUAGGCAUAAUCUGCAAACAACUCUCUUAACAGUUAUAUACUUACGAAUAUUUUGUCUUGCUAACCGGCUGCAUGUUUUACUGUGAGACAAUUAUACUACAAAUAAAUAUCUACUAAACAAACAAAUAAUUUAUUGAAAAAAAUUAAGGCCUUCACUCAUUAUUAUUUCAUUUAUAACGCUUGCACUAACUAUAAGCACAAAGAAACUGAGUAUCUUAGCUAAUCCGCUACUGAUAAAUUAGUUGGACAGCUUAAGUACUCAGUCGGUCCAUAAGUUCUGUCGCAAAGGUUUUGGCUGAUAACAUUUAACCUUUUUAUAAAAUAAUGUAUGUAAUGGCCUAUGAAGCCGAUGGUCCCGGGUUCAAAUCCUGGUAAGGGCAUUUAUUCGUGUGAUGAGCAUGGAUAUUUGUUCCUGAGUCAUGGGUGUUUUCUAUGUAUUUAAGUAUUUAUAAAUAUUUAUAUAUUAUAUAUAUCAUUGUCUAAGUACCCUCAACACAAGCCUUAUUGAGCUUACUGUGGGACUUAGUCAAUUUGUGUAAUAAUGUCCUAUAAUAUUUAUUAUUUAUUUAUUUAAUGUAGCUAUGAUUUGAAAGUGUGUUUAACUCAUCAAAACGUAAUAUAAUUAAUUUAAUUGAAUUUAAUCCUUGGUUACAUUGCGACUGCCGUUGGACGCUAACACGCGGCUGGAUUGUGAAAAAUUAUACAUCACAAAAGGGGAAUAAAAAUUAAUAAAAUAUUUACAAUUGUUUAUUUGUGUGAACCUAUUUUAUUAGAACAUUAUUUGACAUCCAACAUUAACUACUCCGACAAAUCUGCUCUUCAGCUAAUUUCAGGCUUAAGGCACUUUUUAGUAACACGCUUAUUUUUUACUGCCUUACAACGAGUAGAUUUUGUAAACAUGUACAGUAGCAAUUUUGGCACUAAAAUACACAUGAAUAUGUAAUAAAAAAAAGGUAAAAAGACCCAGUUUUCGUUCUAUGUGAGAUGCAACCAUGUUAAUACAGAAAAAUAAAUAAAAGGGGAUCAAAACACGCGCGGCGUGAACAAGGCGCGUGUUUUUGGGGUGAUUUUUAUGCAUUUUUUCGAAUAUCAUAUAAACUUAUGCAACACUGAGACACUAAAUAACCUAAAAUUAUAUUGUAAAUAAUUUUCCAUUAAAUAAGCUUUUAAACCAUAUAUGUGAAUAUUAAAGAUAUUGUACCUAUACCUUUUUAUCAGCAAAAACCUUUGUGACAAAAGUUAUGAACCGACUAAUUUCCUCUAAUUUUCGACUAUUUUUUUUUUUACUUUGUAUAUUAUAUUUUAAAAUUACUUCAGAGUAAUUCAUAAUAGAUUAAGUUAUUUCAUUGGUUUAUGUAAUAUUAACCAUUUUUAAAAAAGGCUAUUUUAGAUAGGUAAUAUUAGUUUCAAAAUCACUGACAGUUAAUUAAUAAUUACUCAAUAUUCACCAUAAAAAUUCUACUCUUCGUUUGUAAUUAUAUUCUCUACAAUUCUCUCUCGUGUUUGCAGCAGUGCUAAAAUAUUGGAAACUCAUGACAAAUUAACUUGAUAAAUUUUCUGUAGUUAAUAAAGAUGAAAUAAUAAAGACACUUCAAAGUCACACUAAGUAGUACGAGUACUUAAUUUUACAUGAGACGUACUAAACGAGUAAUAAAUAUUGAAAAUAAAACAACACAAAGACGUCAAAUAAGAUCCCCACACAACAAUGUAUCCCAGCAAGCAACAGCACUGGUUUUCAGAAGAUCGAAAUUAAGACUAAACGAAGAAGAGGGUAAUAUAAAUAAAUUGUUGUUUACUGUGUGUUAUACUGAUAAGAGUAUAUUAAAAUCGUAUAAACCGUA